ACUUUGACAGAGAGAACUUUAGCCAAAUACCCCGAAACCAGACGAGCUACCCAAGAGCAGCUAAAGAGCAAACUCAUCUAUGUGGCAAAAUAGUGAGAANGACUCGUGGGUAGAGGUGAAAAGCCUAUCGAGCCUGGUGAUAGCUGGUUGUCCAGAACAGAAUUUAAGUUCAACUUUAAGCCAUGCCCAAAAGACUAAAAACUUAGAUGCAGGCUUAAAAUAUAAUCUAAAAGGGUACAGCCUUUUAGACUCAGGAUACAACCUUCAAUAGAGAGUAAGUAUACUAAAUCCCCAUAGUUGGCCUAAAAGCAGCCACCAAUUAAGAAAGCGUUCAAGCUCAAAUACCACAAAACCUUAAUCCAAUUAGUAAGCAUACGAACUCCUAACUUAAUACUGGACCAUUCUAUAACAAUAUAGAAGAGACACUGUUAAUAUGAGUAACAAGAAUAAAAUUCUCCUUGCACAAGCUUAUAUCAGAACGGAUACUCCACUGAUAGUUAACAACAAGAUAAAUCCACACCACAUAUAAAACAUUUAUCAAACCAACUGUUAGCCCAACACAGGAGUGCACUAAGGAAAGAUUAAAAGAAGUAAAAGGAACUCGGCAAACACAAACCCCGCCUGUUUACCAAAAACAUCACCUCCAGCAUAACAACUAUUGGAGGCACUGCCUGCCCAGUGACACUAGUUAAACGGCCGCGGUAUCCUGACCGUGCAAAGGUAGCAUAAUCAUUUGUUCUCUAAAUAAGGACUUGCAUGAAUGGCCACACGAGGGUUUUACUGUCUCUUACUUCCAAUCAGUGAAAUUGACCUUCCCGUGAAGAGGCGGGAAUCAAUAAAUAAGACGAGAAGACCCUAUGGAGCUUCAAUCAACUAGCCCAUAAGCAAAUAAUGAUCAUCCAAGGAGACAAAAACUGCAUUACUGGACUAGCGAUUUGGGUUGGGGUGACCUCGGAAUACAAAACAACUUCCGAGUGAUUAAAACCUAGACUUACAAGUCAAAGCAACUAAUCACUUAUUGAUCCAAAAACUUGAUCAACGGAACAAGUUACCCUAGGGAUAACAGCGCAAUCCUAUUUGAGAGUCCAUAUCGAUAAUAGGGUUUACGACCUCGAUGUUGGAUCAGGACAUCCCAAUGGUGCAGCCGCUAUUAAUGGUUCGUUUGUUCAACGAUUAAAGUCCUACGUGAUCUGAGUNUCAGACCGGAGCAAUCCAGGUCGGUUUCUAUCUAUUUUGCGUUCCUCCCAGUACGAAAGGACAAGAGUAACAGGGCCAACUUAACAUAAGCACC
rnacentral:rRNA from 1 species